GCGGACGUGGCGGAAUUGGCAGACGCGCUAGAUUCAGGCUCUAGUGUCAGCAAUGACUUGGAGGUUCAACUCCUCUCGUCCGCA
rnacentral:tRNA from 2 species